rnacentral:rRNA from 1 species
UCCUACGGGAGGCAGCAGUGGGGAAUUUUGGACAAUGGGCGAAAGCCUGAUGCAGCAACGCCGCGUGAGGGACGACGGCCUUCGGGUUGUAAACCUCUUUUAGCAGGGAAGAAGCGAAAGUGACGGUAAUGGGUAAAGAAGCACCGGCUAACUACGUGCCAGCAGCCGCGGUA